rnacentral:lncRNA from 1 species
AAAUGUGUGGCCUUUCAAACAAAAACCUCCAAAACCUCCACCAACUUCCAUUAAUGAAUGCCUCUGUCAUGGAUCCCAUGCCUUCAUUCAAGGGGCCACUGGUUGGACGGCAACAACCGGGCACGGUUCAAUCAGUGUACCUUCUCUCAAUGGAUGGCUCUCGACAUGAAUGGCUGCAUGAUUGGGUUCUGCUGAGAGCUGGCAAUCAAAC